rnacentral:rRNA from 1 species
CCCUAGGGAGGCAGCAGUGGGGAAUAUUGGACAAUGGGGGAAACCCUGAUCCAGCGACGCCGCGUGAGUGAAGAAGUAUUUCGGUAUGUAAAGCUCUAUCAGCAGGGAAGAAAAAAAUGACGGUACCUGACUAAGAAGCCCCGGCUAACUACGUGCCAGCAGCCGCGGUAAUACGUAGGGGGCAAGCGUUAUCCGGAAUUACUGGGUGUAAAGGGAGCGUAGACGGUUAAGUAAGUCUGGAGUGAAAGGCCGGGGCCCAACCCCGGGACUGCUCUGGAAACUAUUCAACUUGAGUGCAGGAGAGG